GAUUAACGCUGGCGGCGUGCAUAACACAUGCAAGUCGAACGAUGAAACUUAGUUGACUUCUUCGGAAAGACACUAAGCGGAUUAGUGGCGAACGGGUGAGUAACGCGUGAGUAACCUGCCUUACACAAGGGGAUAGCCCUUGGAAACGAAGAAUAAUACCCUAUAAAACCAUAAAAGCACAUGCUAGAAUGGUCAAAGUGAUAGCGGUGUAAGAUGGACUUGCGUCUGAUUAGCUAGUUGGUGAGAUAAAAGCUCACUAAGGCAACGAGCAGUAGCCGGAUUGAGAGAGUGUACAGCCACAUUGAGACUGAGACACGGCCCAGACGCCUACGGGAGGCAGCAGUGGGGAAUUAUGCACAAUGGGGGAAACCCUGAUGCAGCGAGGCCGCGUGAUUGAGAAGGCCUUCGGGUUGUAAAAAUCUUUUGUAUAGGAAGAAAAUGACAGUACUAUACGAAUAAGGUCCGGCUAAUUACGUG
rnacentral:rRNA from 1 species